rnacentral:tRNA from 1 species
UCCCAGGUGGCUCAGUGGUAAAGAAUCUGCCUGCCAAGCAGAUGACAUGGGUUUGAUCCCCGGUUUGGGAA